GCUGACUAGUUGUUCGGGAUUUACAUCCUGAGUAACGUAGCUAACGCGUGAAGUCAGCCGCCUGGGGAGUACGGUCGCAAGAUUAAAACUCAAAGGAAUUGACGGGGACCCGCACAAGCGGUGGAUGAUGUGGAUUAAUUCGAUGCAACGCGAAAAACCUUACCUACCCUUGACAUGUCACUAACGAAGUAGAGAUACAUUAGGUGCUCGUAAGAGAAAGUGAACACAGGUGCUGCAUGGCUGUCGUCAG
rnacentral:rRNA from 1 species